ensembl:lncRNA
UUCAAAAUAUAUCCAAAGAAUGCUGCUGACUUGUCUGCAGGGAUCAGCCUCAGCCACCUCCAAUUUUAUAUUUAGAAGUCAAGGACAAUGCAAAUCUGAGUCUAUAAUGAGCUCCCUUCCACAGAAGUUAUGGCAACGGAUAUCUUCCCAUGGAAAAAUGAAAAAAUGUUUAUUGAUUUUUCUGAGGUUGCAGGAUUUUUUUAUGAAAACCACGGAACCAAGUCUUCUUUGGUGCUUCAGUGCUGACCAAUAUGUCCAGAAGAACCAGAGAACUAGUUAAAAGAGGUCUAUUUCCAUGACUAAGGUAACAAGAGCCACAUCUGCAAAAGAACAUGGGUGUAUGUAGUCACAGUUUGGCCUAUCUUAUGUAGUGCAAAAAGAUUCAAGUUAACAACGACAGCUUUCCCAGUGUGACCACUGCCUCCUACCACUCGUUUCCAGGAAAGCAUGUGAAGAACAUUUCUGGUGGAUGGUACAUUCAAACUCUAAGGAUAGGUAAUGAAAGCUACUGUCUAAUAAAAUGUGACAAGGAAAUAAUACCUCUAUAUCACAUUUCUCUACCUGAGAGCAGAUAUAUAGGGUAGCAGAAUAGCUGGAAAUGUCCUCUGCAUGGAAAGCACUAACAAAGAAGUCUGCUAUUGGUGAACUGUCUGGCUCAAGUGUAUCUCAAGACUGGGCUGGAAAUAGACUGUACACUUAUUCUAGAAAAGGGACACAGGUGUAUGUAAAACAGAGGCCAGUAUUUGAGAUGGUAAUUAUAUUCAUACCAUAUGUCUACUACCAUUUGAGAAAGGCAGAGAUGGAGUUAAUGGAGCUCUCUAGAGUUUGUCGAAGUCCUGCUCCAUGUCCACACCAUCCUCAAAAUGUAUGAAAAUUUCCUGCAAAUUCUCAGAUGGUCAGAUUUCAGUGUUCCAAAUCUCUGAGAAACUUGAUUUGUUCCUCUCAUUAUUUACUAGCUUUUUAAAUUUUCUAAGUAUCCUACUGACUAUGGAUUGGACAGUGUGGACUGACAACAUGGACAUACAGCUAAAUUAGCAAAUGGACCAAAGGCAGUACUCAUCACAGACUUCAAUGGAGGUGGCCAAAUGCAUCACAGAACUUAGGGUGGGCCUGUCCCACAACUAAGUACUGUCUCAGUCUACUCAGUAAUUCUUUUCAAUUCAAGCCUCCCCAGUGAGACUAAGAAAGCUGGAGUAGGUGGCCUGCUGGUCCUCUGCCAAGUUUCUUUUCUCCAGCUCCUUCAAAUGACCAGACACAACUAAGGGGAAACAUACUGGCUAACUAACCAAGUCUGGUUUUCCCUACCCCAUUCACCCACUGGCCAUUUCUGUCCCAUACCUCUAACCUCAGCAGAAUUUCUCUUAUAUUCCAUCUUAUACUCAGUCUUCCCACUCCAUUUGUGUCUUGUGCAGUUCCCAUCUUCCCCUUCAUGUCCCUGAUAGAUCUAUUGCUAUUUCCUGCUCUAUCCCAUCUCUUCUAACACAUACCUUCUGUGCCUCUGUUCAAGCUGUCUGCUAAACGAAAGCUGGAUAACCAUGGGGGAAUAAUGGCUUUUAUACUAGUGGGCAAGCCUUGUUCCCAGUUUGGGAGCUUUGGUUCUGAUCUUCCUGGGUGGGCUAGUCAUGACCCUGUCUUGACAAGAAUUAAGGACUUUCCACAUGGGUUGGGCAAUAUUUAGGCACGCGUCAUGAGGGAAAUGAAUCAAAACAGUGGUGGGUGGAGGACAGAAGACUAAGUUGGCAGGGAAGAAUCAUAUGAAUGUGAGAAAAGCAACUCAGAAGACCAGAGGAUUUUAUAAAUCUAAUUCUGGAUGCCUAACACACUUGUGAUAGUAGUGCAUCCUUGGGAGGUGGGAUAAGGAAAAGAGGAGAAAGGAGGUGACAUGGCCAGCAAGAUAUAGCCACUGACCAUCACCUAACUAGCUAAAUGAGAGAGAAAAUCCUAAUAUUAUCUCACAGAAUCUUUGCCAAGAAAGCAAAUUACUUGCCUAGUUGUAUUGAAAACAUAUAAUUUUAUCUUCUAAAUAAUUUCUGUAGCCUAGUCUCUUUAUUGCGUUCUCCAAGAUUUCUGGAAAUUUGGUGCUUACCAGCAAGCUGUAGUUCUCCAGAAUAAAUAAAUGCUAUCAUCUCACUACUGGCAUGAGGAUACAGUCAAUGUAGAAAUUAACUAAUUGUGAUUGUACCCAUACUGCAUUCAUCUCAGCAAGUACUGCCACUAUGAUCAGGGAAUCAAUUUUAAACUUAGUUAUUAGUGAAAGUCAAAAUUAAAAUGUGCCUUCCAAAAGUAUUCAUAUCAGAAAUUGGAAUUUAAGCAAGUUACAGCACGUAUUUGACCAGGAUACGUAAGUAACACUGACAACAAAGUUAUCAGACCUCUAGU